GUCUCUAUGGCUCAGUCGGUAGAGCGUUGGUCUCAUAAUCCAAAGGUCGCAAGUUCGAGCCUUGCUAGGGACA